rnacentral:rRNA from 1 species
AGAGCUUUAUCCUGGCUCAGGAUGAACGCUGGCGGCGUGCUUAACACAUGCAAGUCGAACGAGAACCAUUGGAUCGAGGUUUCGUCCAAGUGAAGGUGGGGAAAGUGGCGGACGGGUGAGUAACGCGUGAGCAAUCUGCCUUGGAGUGGGGAAUAACGGCUGGAAACAGCCGCUAAUACCGCAUGAUACAGCUGGGAGGCAUCUCCCUGGCUGUCAAAGAUUUAUCGCUCUGAGAUGAGCUCGCGUCUGAUUAGCUAGUUGGCGGGGUAACGGCCCACCAAGGCGACGAUCAGUAGCCGGACUGAGAGGUUGGCCGGCCACAUUGGGACUGAGACAUGGUCCAAACUCCUACGGGAGGCAGCAGUGAGGAAUAUUGGUCAAUGGCCGGAAGGCUGAACCAGCCAAGUCGCGUGAGGGAAUAAGGCCCUACGGGUCGUAAACCUCUUUUGCCAGGGAGCAAUGCCGUCCACGUGUGGACGGAAGGAGAGUACCUGGAGAAAAAGCAUCGGCUAACUCCGUGCCAGCAGCCGCGGUAAUACGGAGGAUGCGAGCGUUAUCCGGAUUUAUUGGGUUUAAAGGGUGCGUAGGCGGCCUGCCAAGUCAGCGGUAAAAUUGCGGGGCUCAACCCCGUACAGCCGUUGAAACUGCCGGGCUCGAGUGGGCGAGAAGUAUGCGGAAUGCGUGGUGUAGCGGUGAAAUGCAUAGAUAUCACGCAGAACCCCGAUUGCGAAGGCAGCAUACCGGCGCCCGACUGACGCUGAGGCACGAAAGUGCGGGGAUCAAACAGGAUUAGAUACCCUGGUAGUCCGCACAGUAAACGAUGAAUGCUAGCUGUCCGGGGGGAUUGACCCCUGGGUGGCACAGCGAAAGCGUUAAGCAUUCCACCUGGGGAGUACGCCGGCAACGGUGAAACUCAAAGGAAUUGACGGGGGCCCGCACAAGCGGAGGAACAUGUGGUUUAAUUCGAUGAUACGCGAGGAACCUUACCCGGGCUCAAACGCCGAAGGGACAUUCCCCGAAAGGGGAUUGGCCAGCAAUGGUCUUCGGCGAGGUGCUGCAUGGUUGUCGUCAGCUCGUGCCGUGAGGUGUCGGCUUAAGUGCCAUAGCGAGCGCAACCCCCACCGACAGUUGCUAACUGGUCAAGCAGAGGACUCUGUCGGGACUGCCGGCGCAAGCUGCGAGGAAGGCGGGGAUGACGUCAAAUCAGCACGGCCCUUACGUCCGGGGCGACACACGUGUUACAAUGGCAGGUACAGCGGGAUGCCAUGGGGCGACCCAGAGCGGAACCCGAAAACCUGUCUCAGUUCGGAUCGCAGGCUGCAACCCGCCUGCGUGAAGUCGGAAUCGCUAGUAAUCGCGGAUCAGCAUGCCGCGGUGAAUACGUAAGCGGGCCUUGCACACACCGCCCGUCAAG